rnacentral:rRNA from 1 species
UUAAGCGACUAAGCGUACACGGUGGAUGCCCUGGCAGUCAGAGGCGAUGAAGGACGUGCUAAUCUGCGAUAAGCGUCGGUGAGGUGAUAUGAACCGUUAUAACCGGCGAUUUCCGAAUGGGGAAACCCAGUGUGUUUCGACACACUAUCAUUAACUGAAUCCAUAGGUUAAUGAGGCGAACCGGGGGAACUGAAACAUCUAAGUACCCCGAGGAAAAGAAAUCAACCGAGAUUCCCCCAGUAGCGGCGAGCGAACGGGGAGGAGCCCAGAGCCUGAAUCAGUGUGUGUGUUAGUGGAAGCGUCUGGAAAGGCGCGCGAUACAGGGUGACAGCCCCGUACACAAAAAUGCACAUAUUGUGAGCUCGAUGAGUAGGGCGGGACACGUGGUAUCCUGUCUGAAUAUGGGGGGACCAUCCUCCAAGGCUAAAUACUCCUGACUGACCGAUAGUGAACCAGUACCGUGAGGGAAAGGCGAAAAGAACCCCGGCGAGGGGAGUGAAAAAGAACCUGAAACCGUGUACGUACAAGCAGUGGGAGCCUCUUAAUGGGGUGACUGCGUACCUUUUGUAUAAUGGGUCAGCGACUUAUAUUCUGUAGCAAGGUUAACCGAAUAGGGGAGCCGAAGGGAAACCGAGUCUUAACUGGGCGUUAAGUUGCAGGGUAUAGACCCGAAACCCGGUGAUCUAGCCAUGGGCAGGUUGAAGGUUGGGUAACACUAACUGGAGGACCGAACCGACUAAUGUUGAAAAAUUAGCGGAUGACUUGUGGCUGGGGGUGAAAGGCCAAUCAAACCGGGAGAUAGCUGGUUCUCCCCGAAAGCUAUUUAGGUAGCGCCUCGUGAAUUCAUCUCCGGGGGUAGAGCACUGUUUCGGCAAGGGGGUCAUCCCGACUUACCAACCCGAUGCAAACUGCGAAUACCGGAGAAUGUUAUCACGGGAGACACACGGCGGGUGCUAACGUCCGUCGUGAAGAGGGAAACAACCCAGACCGCCAGCUAAGGUCCCAAAGUCAUGGUUAAGUGGGAAACGAUGUGGGAAGGCCCAGACAGCCAGGAUGUUGGCUUAGAAGCAGCCAUCAUUUAAAGAAAGCGUAAUAGCUCACUGGUCGAGUCGGCCUGCGCGGAAGAUGUAACGGGGCUAAACCAUGCACCGAAGCUGCGGCAGCGACACUAUGUGUUGUUGGGUAGGGGAGCGUUCUGUAAGCCUGUGAAGGUGGCCUGUGAGGGUUGCUGGAGGUAUCAGAAGUGCGAAUGCUGACAUAAGUAACGAUAAAGCGGGUGAAAAGCCCGCUCGCCGGAAGACCAAGGGUUCCUGUCCAACGUUAAUCGGGGCAGGGUGAGUCGACCCCUAAGGCGAGGCCGAAAGGCGUAGUCGAUGGGAAACAGGUUAAUAUUCCUGUACUUGGUGUUACUGCGAAGGGGGGACGGAGAAGGCUAUGUUGGCCGGGCGACGGUUGUCCCGGUUUAAGCGUGUAGGCUGGUUUUCCAGGCAAAUCCGGAAAACCAAGGCUGAGGCGUGAUGACGAAGCACUACGGUGCUGAAGCGACAAAUGCCCUGCUUCCAGGAAAAGCCUCUAAGCAUCAGGUAACAUCAAAUCGUACCCCAAACCGACACAGGUGGUCAGGUAGAGAAUACCAAGGCGCUUGAGAGAACUCGGGUGAAGGAACUAGGCAAAAUGGUGCCGUAACUUCGGGAGAAGGCACGCUGAUAUGUAGGUGAAGCGACUUGCUCGUGGAGCUGAAAUCAGUCGAAGAUACCAGCUGGCUGCAACUGUUUAUUAAAAACACAGCACUGUGCAAACACGAAAGUGGACGUAUACGGUGUGACGCCUGCCCGGUGCCGGAAGGUUAAUUGAUGGGGUUAGCGGUAACGCGAAGCUCUUGAUCGAAGCCCCGGUAAACGGCGGCCGUAACUAUAACGGUCCUAAGGUAGCGAAAUUCCUUGUCGGGUAAGUUCCGACCUGCACGAAUGGCGUAAUGAUGGCCAGGCUGUCUCCACCCGGGACUCAGUGAAAUUGAACUCGCUGUGAAGAUGCAGUGUACCCGCGGCAAGACGGAAAGACCCCGUGAACCUUUACUAUAGCUUGACACUGAACAUUGAGCCUUGAUGUGUAGGAUAGGUGGGAGGCUUUGAAGUGUGGACGCCAGUCUGCAUGGAGCCGACCUUGAAAUACCACCCUUUAAUGUUUGAUGUUCUAACGUUGGCCCGUAAUCCGGGUUGCGGACAGUGUCUGGUGGGUAGUUUGACUGGGGCGGUCUCCUCCUAAAGAGUAACGGAGGAGCACGAAGGUUGGCUAAUCCUGGUCGGACAUCAGGAGGUUAGUGCAAUGGCAUAAGCCAGCUUGACUGCGAGCGUGACGGCGCGAGCAGGUGCGAAAGCAGGUCAUAGUGAUCCGGUGGUUCUGAAUGGAAGGGCCAUCGCUCAACGGAUAAAAGGUACUCCGGGGAUAACAGGCUGAUACCGCCCAAGAGUUCAUAUCGACGGCGGUGUUUGGCACCUCGAUGUCGGCUCAUCACAUCCUGGGGCUGAAGUAGGUCCCAAGGGUAUGGCUGUUCGCCAUUUAAAGUGGUACGCGAGCUGGGUUUAGAACGUCGUGAGACAGUUCGGUCCCUAUCUGCCGUGGGCGCUGGAGAACUGAGGGGGGCUGCUCCUAGUACGAGAGGACCGGAGUGGACGCAUCACUGGUGUUCGGGUUGUCAUGCCAAUGGCACUGCCCGGUAGCUAAAUGCGGAAGAGAUAAGUGCUGAAAGCAUCUAAGCACGAAACUUGCCCCGAGAUGAGUUCUCCCUGAGACUUAGAGUCUCCUGAAGGAACGUUGAAGACGACGACGUUGAUAGGCCGGGUGUGUAAGCGCAGCGAUGCGUUGAGCUAACCGGUACUAAUGAACCGUGAGGCUUAACCUU